rnacentral:rRNA from 1 species
UACGUAGGGGGCAAGCGUUGUCCGGAAUCAUUGGGCGUAAAGAGCGCGUAGGCGGUCCGGUAAGUCCGCUCUGAAAGUCCGGGGCUCAACCCCGGGAGGCGGGCGGAUACUGUCGGGCUAGAGUCCGGAAGAGGCGAGUGGAAUUCCUGGUGUAGCGGUGAAAUGCACAGAUAUCAGGAGGAACACCGGUGGCGAAGGCGGGUCUCUGGGCCGAUAUUGACGCUGAGGAGCGAAAGCGUGGGGAGCGAACAGG